rnacentral:rRNA from 1 species
UACAGAGGUCCCCAAGCGUUGUUCGGAUUUACUGGGCGUAAAGGGUGCGUAGGCGGCAAAAAGUCUGAUGUGAAAUCUCGGAGCCUAACUCCGAAACUGCAUUGGAAACUUUUUUGCUUGAGGAAUGGAGGGGAGACUGGAAUUCUCGGUGUAGCAGUGAAAUGCGUAGGUAUCGAGAGGAACACCAGUGGCGAAGGCGAGUCUCUAGACAUUUCCUGACGCUGAGGCACGAAAGCCAAGGGAGCAAACGGGAUUAGAACCG